rnacentral:rRNA from 1 species
AUACGGAGGACGCGAGCGUUAUCCGGAAUGAUUGGGCGUAAAGGGCGCGUAGGCGGCGCGGUAAGUCUGGAGUGAAAGUCCUGCUUUCAAGGUGGGAAUUGCUUUGGAUACUGCCGCGCUUGAGUGCAGGAGAGGUUAUCGGAAUUCCCGGUGUAGCGGUGAAAUGCGUAGAGAUCGGGAGGAACACCAGUGGCGAAGGCGGGUAACUGGACUGCAACUGACGCUGAGGCGCGAAAGUGUGGGGAGCAAACAGGAUUAGAUACCCUGGUAGUCCACACUGUAAACGAUGAAUGCUAGGUGUAGGGGGUAUCGACCCCUUCUGUGCCGCAGUCAACACAAUAAGCAUUCCGCCUGGGGAGUACGGCCGCAAGGUUGAAACUCAAAUGAAUUGACGGG